GAUGAACGCUAGCGGGAGGCCUAACACAUGCAAGCCGAGCGGUAUUGUUUCUUCGGAAAUGAGAGAGCGGCGUACGGGUGCGUAACACGUGUGCAACCUGCCUUUAUCUGGGGGAUAGCCUUUCGAAAGGAAGAUUAAUACUCCAUAAUAUAUUGAACGGCAUCGUUUAAUAUUGAAAGCUCCGGCGGAUAGAGAUGGGCACGCGCAAGAUUAGCUAGUUGGUGAGGUAACGGCUCACCAAGGCGAUGAUCUUUAGGGGGCCUGAGAGGGUGAACCCCCACACUGGUACUGAGACACGGACCAGACUCCUACGGGAGGCAGCAGUGAGGAAUAUUGGUCAAUGGGUGCAAGCCUGAACCAGCCAUCCCGCGUGAAGGACGACUGCCCUAUGGGUUGUAAACUUCUUUUGUAUAGGGAUAAACCUACCCUCGUGAGGGUAGCUGAAGGUACUAUACGAAUAAGCACCGGUUAACUCCGUGCCAGCCGCCGCAGUAA
rnacentral:rRNA from 1 species